CCCUUAGAUGUUCUGGGCCGCACGCGUGCUACACUGAGUGGAUCAGCGGGUCAGGUUGCGCGAAAGCGUUUCCUAAUCUUUAAAUCCGCUCGUGAUGGGGAUUGACGGUUGCAAUUUUCUGUCAUGAACGAGGAAUACCUUGUAAGCGCGGGUCAUCAUCCCGCGCUGAAUACGUCCCUGCCCUUUGUACACACCGCCCGUCGCUCCUACCGAUUGAGUGGUCCGGUGAGGCUUUGGGAUCUGAGCGGAAAGAGCGUUUCGCCGUUUCUGCUCGGAAAACUCAGUCGAACCUUAUCAUUUAGAGGAAGGAGAAGUCGUAACA
rnacentral:rRNA from 1 species